AUUGAACGCUGGCGGCAGGCUUAACACAUGCAAGUCGAGCGGAGAUGAGGUGCUUGCACCUUAUCUUAGCGGCGGACGGGUGAGUAAUGCUUAGGAAUCUGCCAUUUAGUGGGGGACAACAUUCCGAAAGGAAUGCUAAUACCGCAUACGUCCUACGGGAGAAAGCAGGGGAUCUUCGGACCUUGCGCUAAAUGAUGAGCCUAAGUCGGAUUAGCUAGUUGGUGGGGUAAAGGCCUACCAAGGCGACGAUCUGUAGCGGGUCUGAGAGGAUGAUCCGCCACACUGGGACUGAGACACGGCCCAGACUCCUACGGGAGGCAGCAGUGGGGAAUAUUGGACAAUAGGGGGAACCCUGAUCCAGCCAUGCCGCGUGUGUGAAGAAGGCCUUAUGGUUGUAAAGCACUUUAAGCGAGGAGGAGGCUACUGAGACUAAUACUCUUGGAUAGUGGACGUUACUCGCAGAAUAAGCACCGGCUAACUCUGUG
rnacentral:rRNA from 1 species